rnacentral:rRNA from 1 species
AUUGAACGCUGGCGGCAUGCUUUACACAUGCAAGUCGAACGGCAGCGCGGGCUUCGGCCUGGCGGCGAGUGGCGAACCGGUGAGUAAUGCAUCGGAACGUGCCCAGUAGUGGGGGAUAGCCCGGCGAAAGCCGGAUUAAUACCGCAUACGACCUGAGGGUGAAAGCGGGGGACCGAAAGGCCUCGCGCUAUUGGAGCGGCCGAUGUCGGAUUAGCUAGUUGGUGGGGUAAAGGCUUACCAAGGCGACGAUCCGUAGCUGGUCUGAGAGGACGACCAGCCACACUGGGACUGAGACACGGCCCAGACUCCUACGGGAGGCAGCAGUGGGGAAUUUUGGACAAUGGGGGCAACCCUGAUCCAGCCAUGCCGCGUGCGGGAAGAAGGCCUUCGGGUUGUAAACCGCUUUUGUUCGGGAAGAAAUCCUCUGGGCUAAUACCCCGGGGGGAUGACGGUACCGGAAGAAUAAGCACCGGCUAACUACGUG